rnacentral:SRP_RNA from 1 species
AGGCCGGUGAUGGACGGGUUCCUUGCCCAUCGGGUCAGGUCCGGAAGGAAGCAGCCCAGUCGAGUUUUUCCCGGGUCAUCUUUUCCGGUCUUCC